rnacentral:rRNA from 1 species
GCUAAGCCAUGCGAGUGGAGGGCGUCCCGCAAGGGAUGGCCCCGCAGACGGCUCAGUAACACGUCGUCAACCUACCCUGGGGUGGGGGACGACCUCGGGAAACUGAGGGUAAUCCCCCAUAGGUGGGGGAGGCUGGAAUGCGCCCCCGCUGAAAGCUCAGGCGCCCUAGGACGGGGCGGCGGCCUAUCAGGUAGUUGGUGGUGUAACGGACCACCAAGCCUACGACGGGUACGGGCUGUGAGAGCAGGAGCCCGGAGAUGGGGACUGAGACAAGGCCCCAGGCCCUACGGGGCGCAGCAGGCGCGAAAACUCCGCAAUGCGCGCAAGCGUGACGGGGGAACCCCGAGUGCCGCUGAUCUUUGAUCGGCGGCUUUUCGGGAGUGCAAGGAGCUCCCGGAAUAAGGGCUGGGUAAGACUGGUGCCAGCCGCCGCGGUAAUACCAGCAGCCCAAGUGGUGGUCGCAU